rnacentral:rRNA from 1 species
AUGGUGGCGAUGGCGGGGCAGGAGCGCAAGGCAAUCGAUCUGGAGGAUGGGUGGAAUUUCAAGCAGAAGGGCAAGAUCUACAACCUCAUCAAUAUCCCCGAGCGCAAGCCAGAACUACAGUUUAGUUCUAUAGGACAAAUUGGGAGCCUUCACCAUGGCCGCCAAUAUCCAUCUACGGAUUCAAGGGGCAAUUACCUCACACAUCUUGAUCUGUCAUCUCCUUUUUCCGAGUCAGGUGUAUUGGUGGCCAUCUCCAGAUCUCACCUGGAGCAGCAUCUGUUUUCUAUCUCGCCGUCAUCUAUGGCUUAA